rnacentral:rRNA from 1 species
AACAAACGCUGGCGGCGUGCCUAACACAUGCAAGUCGUACGAGAAAGUCGGCUUCGGCCGAUGAGUACAGUGGCGCGCGGGUGAGUAACGCGUGGGUAAUCUGCCCCCCGGUCAGGAAUAACCCGCCGAAAGGCGGGCUAAUACCCGAUAACACUGACGCUCUGCGGAGUGUCUUCCAAAGCAGGCCUCUGUUUACAAGCUUUCGCCGGAGGAUGAUGCCGGGUACCAUUAGCUAGUUGGCAGGGUAAUCGCCUACCAAGGCAACGAUGGUUCGCUGGUCGUAGAGGAUGGCCAGCCAAACUGGAGCUGAGACACGGUCCAGACUCCUACGGGGGGCAGCAGGGAGGAAUCUGGCGCAAUGGGGGAAACCCUGACGCAGCAACGCCGCGUGGGUGAAGAAGGCCUUCGGGUCGUAAAGCUCUGUCAGAUGGGAAGAAAUGGAUGGGGGCUAAUAUCGUCCAUCCUUGACGGUACCAUCAGAGGAAGCACCGGCUAACUCCGUGCCAGCAGCCGCCGUAAAAC